rnacentral:lncRNA from 1 species
GAGGCAUACGAGACAAUCAAGACUUUCGAUCAUGUUGACCCGAUCUGAGGCACGUAGCCAUCCAGGGUUUUUUGAUAGGCAUGAUGGCCUAGCCUGGGGCAUGUAGCUCAUCCAGAGCUUUCUCAGUUCAAUCCUUUGACCACAUCUAGGAAAAAGUUGACUUCUCACAUAUGCUAGCCCUCUAGUUGGCAGGCUCGAGGCUUUUGCUUCUCCAGACUACUUUACUCAACAACAUUUCUUUUACAUGAUGCACCUUACUAAUAGUAAGGCCAGAGAUUAGCAGAGUUCUAGGUGCGAAGAAGAGGUGUUCCAUCUAACUGCUCCAGAUGAUAGUCUCCAAAACAUACUACCUUGGCAACAUGGUAAGAUCCUUCCCAAUUGGGUGAAAGUUUUUCUCAUUCAAUUGGUUGACUGACUUCAGCCUUUCUGAGCAUUAGAUCUCCAAGGCAGAAGUGCUUCUCCCCCACCUUGGAGUUGUAGUACCAUGCAACACGCCAUUUGUAUGCCGUUGUAUGAUUUCAUGCUUUUUCUUGGACAUUUUUUAGAAGAUCUAGGUUCGCCCGUAAGUCUUCUAAAUUUUUUUGAGCAUUGAAGGUGUCCACCCAGUGUGAAAACAGGCCUAUCUCCACUAGGAUGGCUGCCUCAGUUUCGAAAGCAAGGUUGAAUGGUGUCUUAUCCAUUGGAAGCUGGUGUGUGGUGCGGUAGGCCUAGAGAGCACUGUGUAGUUCGUCAACCUAGAGUUCUUUGACCUUGUCUAACUAGUUCUUCAACCUUGAAGGUUUGCCUAAUUGGUCACCUUAACCUCUUUGUUUGCUUGGGGAUGCUCGAUAGAGGUGAUGUGAUGGUCGUGGAGCUCCUGACAGAACUCUCGGAAGAAGGCAUUGUCAAACUAUCGAUCAUUGUCGAUUAUGAUGACCCAAGGCAAGCCGAAAUGACAGAUGACACUCUUCAAGAUGAAGUCGUGGGUGUUCUUCUCAAUGAUCCGAGCAAGUGGUUCACCUCAACCUACUUGGUGAAGUAGUUGAUCACCAUAAUAAAGACUUUUCUUUUUCUUUGCUCGGUAGUCUGUAGAAGAGGACCGAGGAUGUCCAUCCUCCAUUGAGCGAAUAGCUAAGAAGAGUUGAUUGGAGAGAGUAGACUGCCAGCAGAUGCUGAAUGCUCAAGUAUUGUUGGCACUGAUCACAACACUUUAUGAAACUCGAUCACAUCCUUGCGAAUGCUCAGUCAGUAGUAUCCUUGCUGCACAACCUUGUAUAUUAGGAUCCUAGCCCUCAAAUGGUUGCCACAGAUACCCUCGUGAACCUCAUGCAUAAUGUACUCAGCCUUG